rnacentral:rRNA from 1 species
UAGUGGCGGACGGGUGAGUAACGCGUGGGAAUUUGCCUUUCGGUACGGAACAACCGCUGGAAACGGCGGCUAAUACCGUAUACGCCCUACGGGGGAAAGCAGGGGAUCUUCGGACCUUGCGCUAUCAGAUGAGCCUGCGUCGGAUUAGCUAGUUGGUAGGGUAAAGGCCUACCAAGCCGACGAUCAGUAGCUGGUCUGAGAGGACGAUCAGCCACACUGGGACUGAGACACGGCCCAGACUCC